rnacentral:tRNA from 1 species
CGGGGUGUAGCUCAGUUGGAUAGAGCACGGACCUUCUAAGUCUGUGGUCGGGGGUUCGAGCCCCUCCACCUCGGCCA